CAGUCGCCGCGGGAAUACGGAGGGAGCUAGCGUUGUUCGGAAUUACUGGGCGUAAAGCGCACGUAGGCGGCUUUGUAAGUUAGAGGUGAAAGCCUGGAGCUCAACUCCAGAACUGCCUUUAAGACUGCAUCGCUUGAAUCCAGGAGAGGUGAGUGGAAUUCCGAGUGUAGAGGUGAAAUUCGUAGAUAUUCGGAAGAACACCAGUGGCGAAGGCGGCUCACUGGACUGGUAUUGACGCUGAGGUGCGAAAGCGUGGGGAGCAAACAGGAUUAGAUACCCGCGUAGUCCUGUCUCUUAUACA
rnacentral:rRNA from 1 species